UACAGAGGGGGCAAGCGUUGUUCGGAAUUACUGGGCGUAAAGGGCGCGUAGGCGGCCUGUUAAGUCGAACGUGAAAUCCCUGGGCUCAACCCAGGAACUGCGUCCGAUACUGGCAGGCUUGAAUUCGGGAGAGGGAUGCGGAAUUCCAGGUGUAGCGGUGAAAUGCGUAGAGAUCGGCAGGAACACCCGUGGCGAAAGCGGCCACCUAGCCCGCACCUGACGCUGAUGCGCGACAGCGUGGGGAGCAAACAGG
rnacentral:rRNA from 1 species